rnacentral:rRNA from 2 species
AAAUUGAAGAGUUUGAUCAUGGCUCAGAUUGAACGCUGGCGGCAGGCCUAACACAUGCAAGUCGAGCGGAAACGACACUAACAAUCCUUCGGGUGCGUUAAUGGGCGUCGAGCGGCGGACGGGUGAGUAAUGCCUAGGAAAUUGCCUUGAUGUGGGGGAUAACCAUUGGAAACGAUGGCUAAUACCGCAUAAUGCCUACGGGCCAAAGAGGGGGAUCUUCGGACCUCUCGCGUCAA